rnacentral:lncRNA from 13 species
AUGAGGUUUGCUUUUUUUGUUUUUCUCCCCCCUGCUUCUAGGAUGGUAGAGAACAGUCUGUGGCCUGAGACCCAUCCCCAGGAGGAGAAUGACGAGAACAGAGAGAAUCCAGUCCUGAGCAUGGUGGACCCAGGUUUGGGGCAGGUUGCCGUGCCAUGCCCUUAUUCCACUCGUCAGCCUGCACAGGGAGAUGACAGGGAGGUGAGCACUGAGGAAAGACAGGUAUGUUCACU